AGCUCAAAAUAAAAUUCCAACUAUUGUUCACGCCAAUCUAGUUGCCAAAACUGCUACAGUCAGGAUUCGAGACAUCACCCAAAUUAAUCCUCCCUAUUUUUAGGAUCUAAGUUUGAAGUGAAUAAACAGGAGUUCUUUGAUCAUGUUCAAAAAGUCUUAGAUAUUAUGGGAGUGACAUCCAGUGAGAGUGCUGAGUUAGCUACCUGUUAGCUACAAGAU
rnacentral:lncRNA from 1 species